rnacentral:rRNA from 1 species
GCAGUCUGCAACUCGACUGCACGAAGCUGGAAUCGCUAGUAAUCGCGGAUCAGCACGCCGCGGUGAAUACGUUCCCGGGCCUUGUACACACCGCCCGUCACACCAUGGAAGUCUGCAAUGCCCGAAGCCGGUGGCCUAACCACUUAUGUGGAAGGAGCCGUCUAAGGCAGGGCAGAUGACUGGGGGUGAAGUCGUAACAAGGUAAC